CUUUCUAUUAGCUCUCGGUGAGAUUACACAUGCAAGCAUCCACGGUCCUGUGAGAAUGCCCUCUACCAAAAUAUNNNNGAGGAGCGAGUAUCAAGCGCGCAUUAUGCAGCUCAAAACACUUUGCUCAGCCACACCCCCACGGGAAACAGCAGUGAUUAACCUUUAGCAAUAAACGAAANGUUUAACUAAGCCACACUGAUCAUUCAGAGUCGGUCAAUUUCGUGCCAGCCACCGCGGCCAUACGAUUGACUCAAGUUAAUAGAUUUCGGCGUAAAGGGUGUUUAAGAAUUAAACUCAAAUACAAUAAAGCUAACCUGUAACUAAGUCGUAAAAAACCCCAGUUACAGUGAAAUAAACUACGAAAGUGGCUUUAAUAUUCUGAAUACACGAUAGCUAAGGUACAAACUGGGAUUAGAUACCCCACUAUGCUUAGCCCUAAACCUCAAUAACUCAACCAACAAAUUUAUUCGCCAGAAUACUACAAGCAACAGCUUGAAAUUCAAAGGACCUGGCGGUGCUUUACAUCCGUCUAGAGGAGCCUGUUCUAUAAUCGAUACACCCCGAUAAACCUCACCACCUCUUGCCAUUCAGCCUGUAUACCGCCAUCUUCAGCAAACUCCUUAAUGAUCGCAAAGUAAGCAGAAGUAUCAUCAUAAAAACGUUAGGUCAAGGUGCAGCCAAUGAUGUGGGAAGAAAUGGGCUACAUUUUCUAAAUCAGAAAACUUACGAUANACCCUUAUGAAAUU
rnacentral:rRNA from 1 species